CUCAUUUUCUCCUGCUGCUGCCAUGUAAAAGUGCCUUUCACCGCUUGCCAUGAUUCUGAGGCCUCCCUAGCCAGGUGGAACUGUUUCUACAAUAAAUCAAGACUGCACAAAAAUAUUUGGAUGCUGUAUGGAAAACAACUUUUACCAGGUCUCCAACUGGCAUAAAAUGUUUUCAAGUAUGAAAACAUCUCUGGGCUUCCUCAACAGGCUGACAGAUCCCUGCAGGACCAAAGAUCAUAUGAUAUAUAUUAGAAGGUAAUGAUCAGUUUAUCACUUGAACAAAAACACCCACACCAAGACAACUAUUACUUUGGAUUAUCGGCAGCAACAAAUAUUCACUUGGAUAAAAUCACGAAUUUUACUUAUAAGUGCAUAAUACACUUUAUUAAAAAAUGCAAUCUGAAGGAAUUCCUACCACAUCAGAACUCCUGGGCUCAUCAGAGUUGGGAAGUUAAUACUCAUUUCGGCAUCUGGUCCAAAAGCUGAUUAAUACAGUGCCAUAACUCCUUUUGAGAAUCAAUGGAAGAUUCAGCGGCUUUUCAUCAGGAAGGAAGCAGAAGGGAUAAGGAUUUGGCAUGCUUCAAAUUGAGAGGAAAAAUUACCACUGUUGUGAUAGAUGGUUUGAAAAACCCAUCAAGUGGGUAACUAGAUCUUAUAGCCAGACUGCAGCCAUCAGGAAUUCUAACUCCAAAAAAACUUCUUCAAGUUGAAGAAAACGCAGAUAAUGAGUAAGAAAACAUUCUGCAGAUUCAUUUGUAUUGCAGAGGAAUUACUUCCAAUGUUCUUCCAGUCCUGGCCCCUAGUAUAAACUGCUGUUGAUAGGAGAUGCAGUGAGUUGUCUCCCAGAAACUUGAAAGUGAGGGAAAUAAGAUCACCUUCAAAGAUGUAUGCUGUGAAAUCAUCAUAUAAAUGAUCCAAGCAGAAAUGGCUACAGUCAUCUUAUAGCAGUAGCAGAGCUUGGGGCCUGAGUGUGUGUGGCAGACUCAACAGAGGUGACAUUAACCUGACUUACCAUGUUAGCAUAUCUGAAGAGUGGAAGAACUAGCUAAUCAGAAGGUGGAAGCCUCACAAAAGGAGCAUCCUGACACAUAUGGUGACAGUACCGUCCUAGCAUGGUCUCAAGAGCGGGAGUGGUAACCCGCAAACUUUCAGACCUUCAGUGUCCUGUUGGCAUGAAGAAGGCUGACCCUGAGGCAGGAUGGAUGGGUCAGGAUGUUUCAGCCCGAUGUUAUUAACAUUCAAGUCAUUCAAAUUUCCUGAUCCCAUGCUCACCAAGCAACCUCCUGAUUAUUAUCUGGCUCUGCACAUAGACUUAAUUACAGGAAAGAUAAUACACUGGCCAUAAGGACUUGAAUAAUCUGAACACCAUGACAGUUAUUUCAUAUUGUGGUUGAAUAGACAGGCAGUUGGCCACAAUAUAUCUCCCUACAUAGCUGCUGUCUCCAAGGGGAGAAUUUGCUGCUUAUGUGCUGGGUCUCAGGGAAAAGAUAAUGACUGUAGCAGGUAAUUGCACUGCUGCUUACUACGUGGCUGGCACUGUCUAAAUGCCUUACAUGUACUAAUUCAUUUAAUUUUUAUGACCAUCCUAUGACGUCAAUAAUCAGGCUGAUUUUACAGAUGGAGGAAACUCAAACACAUAGAAGCUGAGUAACUUGCCCAAGAUCAUCUCAGUCUGUUGGGAAGGAAACUGGAGCCCAGAGUCCAGGUACCAGAAUUCAGGCCCAUCGCCACCGUUCUAUACUGUCUUUCCAUUUAUUUCAGGCCCUGAACUUUAUUAUUCAGCCCUCAAAUUAAAAAAAAAAAAAACUAUGAAAAUUAAAAUUUUUUUCAACAUGUACCUGCAAUAUGACCUACUGUGAUCUGAAUUAACUUGGUGGCAAAACUGUACUGAAACUUGUGUGAGGGUAUUAUUUAUAGUCUUACUUCAUCCCAGUUGCUGAGAAUAAUCAUGUUUGCUGUAGAAACAUUAAAAUGUUUGAUUAAAUGGUGUUGCCUAAUAUUCUGCUGUGGGUAUUGUUGUAAUAUAUGUGCACUGUAUUACCUUUGUAAAAUCCUAAAGAUGUUGAAUUCCAAAUCAUAUCUGGUCAGAUGAGGGACCACAGACAAUAGAUCAGUGGUUGUACCUGAAUAACUUGGUAUUCCGGUUUUCAACACUGGGCCUACAGCUUGGUCAUACACAUAUGUGGAAGAACCUCUCUUACUGCGCUGACAAAAUUAGGAUUCUGAGCCAGAAAGGCUGGUAGUCAAGCCACCCAGGCAGUAAAUAACCCUCGGGGAGGCCUGUGAAAAUCCGCCAUCCGAUAUGCUAUCUAGAUGGUUCGAUUGGCCAUGAGCACCAGUGAGACUUUUUCCCAUUAAAGUUCCUCCAAGAACUCAGAUGGUCUCUCCUGUAGGAGAUUGAAGGCUCUUGUGUUGGAGCUGGUGACCUGUGAAGGCCACAUAUUCCAGGAGAUACAAGAAUAUCAAUGGGAAGCCAGUGUAGCCACGUGCACAUUACAGGGCUAUUAGGUUUACUUAUCCACUCACAAAAGUAAUUCCACAAAUGGGCUGGGCGUGGUGGCUCACACCUGUAAUCCCAGCACUUUGGGAAGCUGAGGCAGGUGGAUCACCUGAGGUCAGAAGUUCGAGAGCAGCCUGACCAACAUGGU
rnacentral:lncRNA from 1 species